GGCCAGGGGCCUAAAUUCCUCAGAAUCUGCAGGGAGUGAGAACCAAUCAGUAAGCGAGGCAGAGCCUUUAAAUUUGCGAGAGAACUCUGGCUUCUUUUCUUCCAUCUGCUGAGUCACACUCUGGCAGCCUUGCUGAAUGUCCUGCCCCUCCAGCUGACUGGUUCCUCUACCCCUGACAUGGACACGGCCACGGUCUCCACUUCACCGCCCCCUCCAAACUGGCUACAACCCCCUCUUCGGUGGCCACAGCCCCUCCCUUCCUCCACUGGCCCCGGCCCACAUACAUACUCACAGACUCCCUGUGGCCAAAGACUGGGAAAUGUGGAGGGGAUUGAUUGAUUGGAAAACCAGCAGCAUUUAACCAGACCGACUGUACAGAUGUGGAAGAAAUUCUCUCUCAGAGACACUCAUCGAGGGUUCUCGGCAUCCACUGAGUCAUCUUCGAAAUGAAGGGCAUCUACUGUUUGGCACAAGGCCACGUUCCUUCUCUUCACUCACUCCAUGGAAACUAAGUUCACCGAAUGACCACCUUCUUGCCAAACUAAAAGACCUCUACUCCAACCUGAUCCUCAACCUCUCAG